rnacentral:rRNA from 1 species
UACGGAGGGGGCUAGCGUUGUUCGGAAUUACUGGGCGUAAAGCGCACGUAGGCGGACUGUUAAGUCGGGGGUGAAAUCCUGGGGCUCAACCUCAGAAUUGCCUCCGAUACUGGCAGUCUCGAGUGCGGGAGAGGUGAGUGGAAUUCCCAGUGUAGAGGUGAAAUUCGUAGAUAUUGGGAAGAACACCAGUGGCGAAGGCGGGUCUCUGGACAGUUCCUGACGCUGAGGCACGAAGGCCAGGGGAGCAAACGGG